UACAGAGGUCUCAAGCGUUGUUCGGAUUCAUUGGGCGUAAAGGGUGCGUAGGCGGCGCGGUAAGUCGGGUGUGAAAUCUCGGAGCUUAACUCCGAAACUGCAUUCGAUACUGCCGUGCUUGAGGACUGGAGAGGAGACUGGAAUUUACGGUGUAGCGGUGAAAUGCGUAGAGAUCGGGAGGAACAUCAGAGGCGAAGGCGGCGAACUGGAUAGUAACUGACGCUGAGGAGCGAAAGCGUGGGGAGCGAACAGG
rnacentral:rRNA from 1 species